UACAGAGGUCUCAAGCGUUGUUCGGAAUCACUGGGCGUAAAGGGUGCGUAGGCGGCUCUUUAAGUCGGGGGUGAAAUCCUGGAGCUCAACUCCAGAACUGCCUUCGAUACUGAAGAGCUCGAGUCCGGGAGAGGUGAGUGGAACUGCGAGUGUAGAGGUGAAAUUCGUAGAUAUUCGCAAGAACACCAGUGGCGAAGGCGGCUCACUGGCCCGGUACUGACGCUGAGGUGCGAAAGCGUGGGGAGCAAACAGG
rnacentral:rRNA from 1 species